GUCCACGCCCUAAACGAUGCGAACUGGACGUUGGGCACAAUUCGGUGCUCAGUGUCGAAGCUAACGCGUUAAGUUCGCCGCCUGGGGAGUACGCUCGCAAGAGUGAAACUCAAAUGAAUUGACGGGGGCCCCGCACAAGCGGUGGAGUAUGUGGUUUAAUUCGAUGCAACGCGAAGAACCUUACCUGGCCUUGACAUGUCCGGAACUGCUCAGAGAUGGGCGGGUGCCUUCGGGAACCGGAACACAGGUGCUGCAUGGCUGUCGU
rnacentral:rRNA from 1 species